rnacentral:rRNA from 1 species
GACGAACGCUGGCGUCGUGCCUAAUACAUGCAAGUUGAGCGCUGAAGGUUGGUACUUGUACCGACUGGAUGAGCAGCGAACGGGUGAGUAACGCGUGGGGAAUCUGCCUUUGAGCGGGGGACAACAUUUGGAAACGAAUGCUAAUACCGCAUAACAACUUUAAACACAAGUUUUAAGUUUGAAAGAUGCAAUUGCAUCACUCAAGGAUGAUCCCGCGUUGUAUUAGCUAGUUGGUGAGGUAAAGGCUCACCAAGGCGAUGAUACAUAGCCGACCUGGGGGGGUGAUCGGCCACAUUGAGACUGAGACACGGCCCAAACUCCUACGGGAGGCAGCAGUAGGGUAUCUUCGGCAAUGGACGAAAGUCUGACCGAGCAACGCCGCGUGAGUGAAGAAGGUUUUCGGAUCGUAAAACUCUGUUGGUAGAGAAGAACGUUGGUGAGAGUGGAAAGCUCAUCAAGUGACGGUAACUACCCAGAAAGGGACGGCUAACUACGUGCCAGCCGCCGCGGUAA